GAUGAACGCUGGCGGCGUGCUUAACACAUGCAAGUCGAACGGACUUUACAUGAAACCUAGUGAUUGUAAAGUUAGUGGCGGACGGGUGAGUAACGCGUGGGUAACCUGCCUUGUACAGGGGGACAACAGUUGGAAACGACUGCUAAUACCGCAUAAGCGCACAGAGCUGCAUGGCUCAGUGUGAAAAACUUUAGUGGUACAAGAUGGACCCGCGUCUGAUUAGCUAGUUGGUAGGGUAACGGCCUACCAAGGCGACGAUCAGUAGCCGGACUGAGAGGUUGGCCGGCCACAUUGGGACUGAGACACGGCCCAGACUCCUACGGGAGGCAGCAGUGGGGAAUAUUGGGCAAUGGGCGCAAGCCUGACCCAGCAACGCCGCGUGAAGGAAGAAGGCCUUCGGGUUGUAAACUUUUGUCCUAUGGGAAGAAACAAAUGACGGUACCAUAGGAGGAAGCCACGGCUAACUACGUG
rnacentral:rRNA from 1 species